CCUACAGGGUGCAGCAGUGAGGAAUAUUGCUCAAUGGGCGGAAGCCUGAACCAGCCAAGCAGCGUGCAUGAUGACGGCCCUACGGGUUGUAAAUUGCUUUUAUACGGGAAUAACGCGCCUUACGUGUAGGGCUUUGCAUGUACCGUAUGAAUAAGGACCGGCUAAUUCCGUGCCAGCAGCCGCGGUAAUACGGAGGGUCCGGGCGUUAUCCGGAUUUAUUGGGUUUAAAGGGAGCGUAGGCCGCAUGUCAAGCGUGCUGUGAAAUGUCCGGGCUCAACCCGGGCCUUGCAGCGCGAACUGGCGUGCUUGAGUCCGCGGAAAGCAGGCGGAAUGCGUGGUGUAGCGGUGAAAUGCUUAGAUAUGACGAAGAACCCCGAUUGCGAAGGCAGCUUGCUGGAGCGGAACUGACGCUGAGGCUCGAAAGCGCGGGUAGCGAACAGGAUUAGAUACCCUGGUAGUC
rnacentral:rRNA from 1 species